rnacentral:rRNA from 1 species
AAUGAAUGCUGGCGGCAUGCCUUACACAUGCAAGUCGAACGGCAGCAUGACCUAGCUUGCUAGGUUGAUGGCGAGUGGCGAACGGGUGAGUAAUGCAUCGGAACGUGCCUUUUAGUGGGGGAUAACGUAGCGAAAGUUACGCUAAUACCGCAUAUUCUCUGAGGAGGAAAGCAGGGGACCUUCGGGCCUUGCGCUAGAAGAGCGGCCGAUGUCGGAUUAGCUAGUUCGUGAGGUAAAGGCUCACCAAGGCAACGAUCCGUAGCGGGUCUGAGAGGAUGAUCCGCCACACUGGGACUGAGACACGGCCCAGACUCCUACGGGAGGCAGCAGUGGGGAAUUUUGGACAAUGGGCGCAAGCCUGAUCCAGCCAUGCCGCGUGAGUGAAGAAGGCCUUCGGGUUGUAAAGCUCUUUCGGCUGGGAAGAAAUCGCACCCUCUAAUACAGGGUGUGGAUGACGGUACCAGCAUAAGAAGCACCGGCUAACUACGUG